rnacentral:lncRNA from 1 species
AACGACGUUGCCGCGCUGCUGUAACCGUUAUUAAUUGUUUGCGCUCGUUACCACCGUGUUUAUCACACAGAUCGCGUGACCGUCCGUCCGUGGUCACAGUAGCUCCCGCGCCGGUGAAAAGAGUUCGCUACGAUAAUAAUAUAUUAUAUAUAUAUAUUUUUUUGCCGUUUCAUCGCACCGAAAACGCUUUCUCAGUGCUCACUGGCAGUGAGUCACUGCUCAGUCGACGUUUUGCGGUCUUCGCGUGAUGAACUCUUCGUUAUAGCUGUCCUACAUCCAACAUGAAGCAGCAAUUAGAUUUGGUGUCGGACAACCGGUGUUUUAGCGGACAACAAAAGGUCUACGAACACGACAGGUCGGUACUGGUACCUAUACUUAUAAGAUAUUAUUGAUACCAUCAAUGGCGUAGCCUGCACACAGGGGUUUUUUAAUGUUAUAAACCCCCACAAUCCUUUUUUUAACGAUAAGUAAGAUAAAGAUGAUUAUAGACGCCUAAACCUCCGAACUCCUCCCCCCCUUGAUAAAUACCAUUGGAAAUCAUAGAAUGUCUAAUAAGUCACAAUCCGAUUUAAAUGAUAGAUAAUAAUAUUUUGGAUAACAGAUAUUAUUAUUGUUACUUAUCGACUAUCGUAUUUAAGUAUUAUAUUUUUCCUUGACUUGCCAAUAGUUAUGACUUCUAAAUGUUCUCAACAAUCUCAUAAGAAAACAGUCUAUAACUAAAAAGCAAAAGGUACAAAUUUAGCCAGCUAUGUAGCUAUAUAAUAUUAUUAUUAUUAUUGUCGUCUGAUAAUAACGUAAUUAAUGUGUUUUGCCUGAGAAAUGACGAUGUCCAUUUGAAGAUAAUAAAAGUAUCUCGGUGAGUUGAAUAACUAUGAUAGUCCGAUAAUUCCGUUACUUGGGUACUUUUUUUAAUACUAGGUACCGUUUUUAGUGUGACUGCUGACUAGUGAAAUAUUCUACAUUUUUACACGCAGUUACUGUACCUAUGUUGUAUUAGAUGCUAAUGGAUUUUUAUUUCUUACACAGUUUCAGUUCAGUUGUCUAUGAUUACAAUAGAUAACAGGUUUAUUCAACUUAGUGGUGGUCACAUGAUUUUUUUCAUCAGGGAAUGAGGCUAAUUUUUUUAGCAAUUAUUAUUAUUGUUUUUAUAUAUAUUAAUGUAUUAUUUACAGGUUAAUUCUUUUAUUGCUGAACACUCAUUAUUUAGCAAAAUAUUAACUUUUAAAAAAAAGUUUAACAAUUAAAGAACUAGAUUUAAUAUUUGCAUUGAUAUUAUUUUUGUCAUCCUUAUUUUCGGGGAUCUACUUUUGAAUUUUGAAUUUUCUAAUAGUAACCUACAUUAAAAAUAUUAGUUAAAAUAAAGUAUAAUUAGUUUAAAUAAAUUUAAUUGUUGACAUUUUUGAUUUCCGUCAACCCGUUUACGAGAUAUUCCACUUUUGAGUGUUGGUAGGGGAGAGUAGUGGAGUACUCUUUAAACGCCGCGUGGCAUACUGCUAUCCAAAUGAUACUCUGCUACUUCUUCCCUAUCUAAACUUGAAUGUGGAAUAUAUCAUGAGCGGGUUGACAGAAAUCACCAAUUUCAACACCAAAACUCAUUUAAACUAAUACUCUAUCCAUUUAUGGAACUUUGAAUGUAGGUUACCAUUUUAAAAUCAAAAGUUGAUAGUCGUUUCAUCCCAAAAAAUAAUAAUAAUGUACAUUUUAGAACAUUAUGUUUCUUAAGUCAUUAGGUACUUUGCGAAAUAAUUAGUGUUCAACGAUAAAAGAAUCAUCCUGUAUUAUUAUAAAUAUUGAAGAAAAACGUGUUAUAGGGAAUGUAUUCCCCUUACAUCCCCCCAUCGUUUGUUCACCAAUGAUUCAUAUAAUAUUAAACCGGGGGAUACAGUUCUGUAUAGGUAUAGGAAUAGGUAGGUAAAUUAAUACAAGAUAAUUCUAAUUAGAUUUAAAAUAAGUUUAAUAUUGUAUUAUUUGGAGUGUUGGUCGGUAGACAGAAAAAUAAAACAGUGUUGUAAAGAUAGGAAUGCUUAGUUGGAUGGAUGGAGUGACGAGAAAAGAUAUGAUAAGGAAUUCUCACAUAAGAGGUAGAUUAUGCGUGGCUACGAUUGUAGACAAAAUUAUGUAUGUAAAGAUGCCCCCCUCCCACUUUGGCCGAUCACUUCCUGACAAAUUGUAAACAAUUGGUUUAUCCCUUGUAAAUAAUUGUAAAGUCAAUCUUUAAAAUUUGUAAAUUAUUAAAAAGAAAUAGAAUUUAUAAACAAAGUGGGAGGGCUAAGUUCACGUAGCUUUUUACUUUGGCCGAUCGAUUCAUUUUAAAUAGCUGUAAAAUAAAUGCGAUUUUAAAAUUACUAACUUAUCAGAGAUUUUAGAACUUAAAAAUUUAUUGGGAUGAUCAUUUUUUAAAAAUAAUUUGGUAACUACACCCGAUGUAUAAAUUAAUUUUUAGCAGAGAUGUGAAAUUUGAACAAACGGAGAAGGGAACUCCAUUUAAAUUUUGGGAGUAUUAAGAUAAGAUAUUAUAAGACCGGUUUCGUCUUAUAAAUUCAUCAUCAGGUAUAUCACAGUCAAAUGUAAAACGCGACUCGCGUUUUACUUAGCACGUGGGGGCAGCCACUGUUGUAUAUGAGAAGUUGGGAAGGUAGUAGAGGGGAAAUUUAAUGUAUAUUUGUAAGCAACAAUAGACUAUUUCUAGCGAAAAACGAUUCUGAGCGAAGUUCUGUUGAUAGUGUUGCUCUGUUAACAAUAUAUAUGCUGUAUUAUAGUAAAAUAAUUACAUAGGCAUUAUAUAUUUUCAUUAAAAUAUUAUUUUUUUAAUAUUGUAUCUAUUUUUCGGUUUUUCCUUUUAGAAAAAUGCUAUUAUUGUAAAUUGGAGCAUAAUUGCUAGUAGAAAAGAUCCACUAAUAAAAAAAAAAUAAACAACUUUGUAAAAUCAUGAGCUUCUUCGCUCCACUAAGAAUCUAAAAUAAAUAGAAUAUUAACAAAGAUAUAAAAUCUGUUCAACGCGGUGGACAUACAGGGUAUAUAGCAUACACUUGUAAAAAUAAUAAUAUAUCCGGUGAUCCAUUUAAGUGGGCACACUCAAAUGGCAAAAUUCACCCAGAAUCUAAAGUUAAAUGAGUGAUUUAUCGAAAAUUGAUUAUUUGUAUAAUGGUAUAACGUUAUAAUAUCAUGUCCAGAUCAAGAUGAUUUGGCCUAGGGCCAAAUAAUUUUAGGGGCCCAUAAACAUAAUACAAAUAUUGGUGACUCACAAAUAAAUAUAUUUCAGAGAUCGUCGUACAUUUGUAAUCGACAGAGUUCCUAUUUUCUUACUAUAAUCAUCUUGCUAAAAAUAGACAAUAUUACGAUAGCAGAAAUAAUAAUAAUAAUAAAAAUUUAUCCAUUAUCCGUAAUAUAUUAUAGGAAACUUACUACUGGCCAAGGCCAGUGGCCUACAGUAUUACGAUAUAAUAUUUUCAUACUGGUUCAAUUGCUAUCGAUUGCUAUAGUUAAUGUUCAAUGUAAUAUUUGUUUUAUAAAAUAUAAUAUGUGUAUAUACCAGAUACCUAUUACUUUUGUUUAUACUAAGGCAUUUAGCUAAAUAAAACCGAAGUUACAAAAUAUACAUUACUAUUACGUAUUCUGUAUAGAGUAUAGGCCAUAGGGUGCCUCCGAAGUUUUAGAAAAUAAUUAAGGGUGCUGUGAGUCAAAAAAAUUUGGGAACUUCUGAUUUAGGUAGUUAAAUUACUAAUAAACACCAUGUCGUAAGUUGUUUUUUUUAUUGUUAUUAUUAUUUUUUUUUAAAAUUUAAAUUGCUGUUUGUUAAAUAGAUACCUACCUGAAAUAUUAAACUGUGACCUAAUUGGAGUAAUUAUUAAAUAUUACUAGCCAAUAACAAACCGGCUACACGUUUGGGUAGAUUUCGAUAUUUUUACAUUCAAUUAUAAAACACGGUUGAGUACAGUACACAUACUUGCGGGUUUUGGUUCUACAUAAAUAAAACAAGUAAUCAGUUUAUCUACAGGCUAUGAUAGACUAUGACAUAUACACUAGUGACUAGUGUAUUGAUUAUGAUACACUUGUUAUUUUCAACGUGAUUUAUACGUAAUAUAGUCAGUGUUUCCGACGUUUUCGAGACUUGGCGUGGGAAGAGUGUUAUAAAAUUUAAAAAAAGAGCUGAUACUGAGGACGGAAGAGGCCACUGUUGUAGUUGAGAAGUUGGGAAGAUAGGAUAUAUAAGGUUAUUUCAUUUAUAUCUGUAAGCAACGAUAAACCAUUGUUGACGAAAGACGAUUCCGAGCGUAGUUCGGUAAUACAUAAUUUGAAGUGCCGUAUUUUUUUUCGGUACUUUUGUUAAAAUAUGAUAUUUCAAAAUCAUUUAAUAAAAAAAAAGUUCAACAAAAAUAUGGUCUCUUGUUGUUGAAGAGAAUAAGACACUAUAUUAUCACAUCCUUUCAAACUUCUCUCCUUGAACAGUAUCAACCUUUUUUUAUACUUUUGUACUUUAGAUGAUUAUAUAAUAAAUACAAUUUUGUGUAAUUUUCCACAUCAUCUUAGCUUGACAAACGACAUCAAUUAUUUUUAUUUAUUAUUUUUUUUAUCAAUUGAAGUUACGUAAACUAUGAGAUAUUGCACAUAGGCACAUAGAAUUCUUGUAUUUUUGCGAUUAAAGCACUUUUCCUAUUAAUAAACGUUUUCUGUAUUCAUGUAAAACAAUAAUAUCGUGAAAUUUUACGUUUUUCUUACGUUUUUUCCCGAUUAUUAUGAAAACUAAUUCGAAAAUCAAAAAAACGAACUACAUCAUUAAAAAAAAGAUUAAUAAUUCAACAAAAAAGGUCUCUUGUGGUUUUUCAACUGGAGCCAUAUUUGUGCUAGAAAACGUGGUAGGUACUUAUUUAAAAUAAUGAAAUCGUGAAAAAUCUUUUUUUUUUCUUGGUUAAUCGUUUUUAUUUUAAAUACAGUUUCGAAAAUCAAAAAAUAACCUAUGUAUUUACCAAAUAAAUAAAAUUGACUUUCAGAAAAGGUGCUACACUUAUACAUCAGAUAGAGCAAGUUUUCUAGGAUAAAAGUGGUCUAUAGUAUAUACAUAAAAAAAGUACAAUUGUAAAAAAAUUAAAAAAGUCGUCCGAUGAUUUUGGAAAUUUUACCACGUCUAGGUAAAUUCAAUAUAAGUAUUAUUACCAAGUUUCAAGUCUUUACGUGUAUUUAUAACCGAAUUACAGCAAAAAAUUGCCAAUAAUUAAAACUCGUAAGAGAGUAAAUCAAAUAGGCGAAAAAAAAGGUGUUAAAUCAUUCUUUCUGGUUGAAAACGUCGUCCGUGUUUUUAUAAAUAACGAAAUUGUGAAAUUGUACGUUUUCCUACGUUUUUUCCCACUUAAGUGCUUUUUUAUAUAAAAAUGGCGUCAAAAAUUAGAAGUACCAUUUAGACAACUUGAGAUUUCAGUAAAGUUGUUACACGUAAAAAUCGGAGCAAGUUUACUAGGAAAAAACGUUUCCACAGACUAGAAGAAAAAAAAAACAUCUUAGUAAAACCUUAUCUUAGUAAAUAGACGUUUCGAAAUCAUUCCAAUUGUUUAGAUUAUUCUGAAAAAGAAGUUUGUGUAAAGUUUGAAGAAAAAAAUUUCCUGAUACCUUUAAUUUUAAUCAAAAUCUAGUAAUUUUUGACUGUAAAAAUAUUAUAGCUACUUAAACUUAUAAAGUUAAUAAAAUAACAAAUAAAUUAUUGCACCGAUUUAUUAUUAUUAAAGUACCUAUUAUCGUGUUAUUUUUACAGACAAUAUAGUGUAUAAACGUAUUGUAUUUUGGGUUUAUUUACCCAAACUGAUUACAUUCGAUAACAUUGAAUGUUUCCGGCGCGUUUUUAACAUCCUUUGAUUUUCUACUGCUCUCUUAGCAAAAAAGACUUGUUAGAUACACUAACCAAAUUCAUAACACUAUCUAGUUUUUGGUUGAGAACACCUGUUAGUAAAAUAGUUACCAAUAUGUUUAACAAUGUUAGCUCAGUGUAAACACGGACUUAAGGCACCUAUAGGUGUCGACUUAAUUCGUAUACUUCAUUAAUUAAUGAAUAUGCAUUAAAAUUACGUGGUAAUAAAUAUCACUUCAUAGGUACCUAUGCAAAUCGGCGUUUAGAUUAAAAAAGUAUGUACAUAUCUAGGUACUUCCGAUUUUAUAAGAAGACAUUGUUUUCGAGUCAAAGAAAACAAUGAUAUUUUUCGGAAGAUUAUCUAGGUAUUUCCAAUAUUUAGACAUAUUAUAGAAUUAAAACUGUAACUAUUUAUAAAUAACAAUAAAUACAGAAAAACUCGCAACAAAAUAAUUUGAAAAUAGUAAUUAAAUGGGCUGUGUAUAGAUUAGGGAAAUUGUCUAAUAUGUGAUACCUAGGUAUAUAUUUUAACGUUAACGGUAUGACGUGUGAUGUACCAAGACAAUUGACAAUUGACGAUAUAAUUUCCUGUAUAGCUUAAUAAAUAUAUGUAAUAUUAUUAUUAAGAGUUUAUUAUUUUGGGUUUGUUUAUCUUUGAAAUUUAAAUGUUUAAAUUUUGACAUAGCGGACAGUUGUUGAAGUUUGUAAUAUUUAGUAUUAACUAGAUGUGCACUACAAUGGUAUUAGUUUAAUUGUCUGAUUGUCAAAUUAUUAAUAUGAUAUCUUUUAGAUAUUAUCGUCCAACUGUUUAGAAGAGGUUACAGUGUUUUAAAUUAUUUUUUUUUAGAAUUUUAGUGAAGCGAGGAGCGUAAAUUGAUUUUACUUAUAUGAAAUAUGAUGUGUGUUUUUAGAUUUAGAGUGUAUUACUAUGAUGUGUGAUUUUUAUUUUUUGUCUGUUAACUAUUUUUCUACCAGCAAUUUAUUUCUUCAUAAAGAUUUCUUCGGGAGAUUUGUAAUCCUAAUGUUGAAAUAAAAAUAAUGUAAUUAGUAUUAAUAUAAAUGAUAUUGAUAUAGAUAAUAUUAAAUCAAUCAUUAAUAUUACAAUUUUCUCUAUAAAAACAUACAUUUCUACAAUCAGGAAGUUCAGCAUCAUGUGACGUUCAUUUUCGGUAAUACGGCGAUUAAAAACGUUGUCUAGAGUGUUAUGUCCAAUGAGAAGUUUUCAAAUGUAUCAUUAAGUCAUAUAGGAGACAAACAAUAUUAAUCUUGUUAAUAUUAAAUUCUAAAUACUUUGGCCGAAAAAAGUAUAAGUUAAACUUAAUUUUUUAAUUUAUUUGCAAUUCUUAAUUUGUAUUCUCGUAUUAUUGUAUACCUACAUACUAUACUAAGGGCGGGACAUCGUCAUGGCAGCACCCACAAGUAGGUAGAUAUGUAUAUCACCUUUGUAUGUACCCAUGUAAACAAUUUUUUUGGGGCUAUAGCCUCCUCACAGAAAACCAUUAUGUUACGCCUGUGGGGUUGACUAAGAAAAGCCAAGCCCGCAUUUAGAAUGAACAGAAAAGGUUAGGUUAGGUUAGGUUUGUAUUAAAUUUCUGGUGUUAUAUAGGUAUUGUGAGAAAUUGAUUCUGAAUAAAUUUCACAUACCAUGCUAAUUUAUUAGUUUUUCAAUGUUUAUUUUAUUCAUUUUUUUCUCUGGAUAACUUUAAUUUUUAAAUUAUGGUGACACCAACAAAAUUUCAAUUUCAUUUAUAUAUAUAUAUAUAUAUAUAUACACACAAUAUAGAUUAUCUUAUGUUUGACAACGUUAUUGAGUUCAGUUAGUUCAAAAUGAUUAAAUCAUCAAUAACCAUAACAAAAAUUAUCAUAUUACCUAUAAGUAACAUUGUAGUAUAUACCUAUGCUAGGUUUAAUAUACCAACUAGUGAAUAAGUUAUGGAGUAUAAAUGUUAUUCUAAUUGAUUUUCUAGACUACCAAUAUUAAAAACCAGAUAUUACAAUAUAUAUUUCAUAUUUCUGUAGACAUUUGAGAUUUUGUUGCAUUUUUAAUAGAUACCUACCUAUCUAAUUUAUAGUAUUUUUGAAUGAAGAUGUGCAACCUUAUGUAGUUUGUUAUCCUCAUUAGUUAUCGUUCAUAUUAAUUUGAUUUACCUAUUUAAUUUAUAUUUUAAGUGGAGGGAGUACCAUUUUUUUUUUUUUUUUUUUUUAGUUUUCUAUUAACACAUUUUUUGGCUGUAAACAUACUGAAUAAUUUACAUACAUAGUUUUACAAACAGACAAUUGAAUACAAAAGUGAAACCAUACUUUAGUAGGUUGAUACUUAAAUUUUUUUUUUAUUUUCUGAAUGGAACAUUGAAAAUAAUAGUAAGGAGAAAUGUACAGAAGUGGCAAAAUUUGAAUUUCGAUAUCAAAUAGCCUUGGAUUAUUCCAUUUGAUUUGAAAAUAAUAAUACUUUUAAGGCUAUAUUCUCUAAUUUGUACGUGUCAUUGGCCUAACUAGGAUUAAUUUAGUAUACAAAGUAUAUUUAUUCUAUAAAACUUUUUUUAUAUAUCAAUAAACAAUCUCAAAUUUUGUACUACUUUUUUUUUUCUGGAUAAGUUAAAUUAGUAAAAAUAUUUUUAUCUUUGAUUACUGUGAAACAUCAACUUUUGAAUUUUUGCAUAAUAUUUGGCUUUUCUAAAGAGCAUUAUAGAUAGCAAAAGAAACUUCUAAGGUACCUUGGUAUCAAACUAUUUUUUGUUAAUAAUUUUAAAUUUAAUACUUACUAUUUUUUGAGUAAAGUAUAAAUAAUAGUAGGUAUACAAGUUUACUGAACCAUUGAUCGAUUUAGAUAAAUAUUAUUGAAGUUAACAUUUUUAAAUAAGAAUUUCUCUGAAACUUCAGUGACCAAACUAAAAAAAAAAAUUUAAAUAAAAUUAUGCAAACAUUAAAAACACAUUUCAGUAUUGCUAACCAUUCUAGAAAAAAAAAAAUGGUAUGAUACAUCAUGAUUUUUGUGAUUUACACCUUAGUAAUUGUAAUAUCUUAGGAGAUGACCAAGUGAAAUUAUAUAAUAUAAACAAAUAGAAUUACAACUGAAAACAUGUGCGUACCAUUAUUAACUACUACAUAUAACAUCAAGAAAAAAAUCUCAUAGUAAAGAAUAACAUAAUAAAAGUAAUGUUAGCAUACACACAAAUAUAUAUAUCAAUGUUGCUAACAUCAUAACAGUAAUGUAAUGCAUUUCAAAUUUUGCAGAAAUUUCAAGUGCAGCCUCGUCCAUCCACUUGAUUACAUUACUGACAUUUACUAUUGAGCAAAAUAAGGGAUCGCCUAAAACCAGUAUUUCACUUUAUUUCAAAUUAAUCCUGAUUGUCUUAUUUGUUUUAAUAACCCAUCUCAUAAUAUAAUAAUAAAAAUUAAUUCAGUCAAUUGUUAACGAAAUUUUGCAAUACAUAUUGCAUAUAUAUCUAUUGGUUGAUAAUUUAUUUUUACAUUUAGUUGAUUUAUAUUCACAUUAAACUCCAUAUAUGGAGUAAGAUGUGAGUUACUAUGCUGUGUAGUUAGAGACAGAUUUACACAAUUGCCGUCCUUAGGCAAAUUUUAUUUUGUCGCCCCAUUAAACUUAUCAAAAAACAAAUUUUUAAAUACUUAUUUAACAUAACUACCAAAAAAAAAAUCAUAUAAAUUAUUCUAAGCAAACAAAUAUUGUUUAUAAAAUAUAGUGUUUACUCAUUAAUAAUAACAGAAUAUUAAGUCUAUCCGCCUUGAAAGUUGUGUUAAAAAUAAUCAAAUGUCUAAUCAGAAUAAACACAUGGAUAAUAUACCUAUUCUUUACUCGCCCGUCCUCUAUUUCAUAGUCAUGAAGAAAAAUAUUAUCACAAUUUUAUUUUUUGGAUAGAAAAAAGUUUUAUUUUUGUACACAUAGUGCAUAAUAACCAACACUUAAUAAACAUGCAUACAAUUUAAUUAACUUUUGGAUUAUGAAAAUAUAUUACUAUAAAUUAAAGGUAAGUAGUUUUCUUCAAUUGUAAAGAUUAAAAAUUACCUUAUAAAAUCUAAAAAAAAAACUAGUAUUAUCAAUAAAAUAUUGGUGCAAAAUUUCCUCCCCUAAAAAUUUGCUGCCCAGGGCGACUGCCUACUUUGCUUGACACUAAAUCCACCACUGUGUGUAGUGUGUAAUAAUAGUUUAAUACUGCCCAGUAAUUUAACAUUUUAACAUUGUGUGCAAAUUUAAUUAAUUUUUUUGGAUAUCAAUGUAAUAAUAAUAUAAAGUUAUCAUGUUUUGGUAGUAAUUAAAAUUGCAUAGAAAAUAAACGGUAGGUUAGGUUGAAUAAUUUAUGAGUAAUAUAAAACUUGAUUUUUAAAUUCAAUAAUUGUUUUUGCUUCUAAAUAAUUAAAUUCUGGUUUUAUAGAUAGUUAUCUAAUACAUUAUAUUGAAUUAUUGCAUAAUUAAUUAAUAUCUGUGAUGUUUUAAUGAUACCUUGUACUGUAUGUACCUAGUAUUAUAAUAAAUUAUAGUCUAUAUCUAUAUGUAUGUAAUGUUUAAUUGACCAUCUGAGAUUGAAAUUAAUGAAUAAAUUAUUUUUUAAACACUAACUUAUGGAUAAAUAAUAAAUAAAUUAGUUAAACAUUUUAAAAUUAAAUAAUUAUGUAUGGUUAAUGCCUGUGGUUGUAAAUGUUAAUGUCUAAUACGAUAAAUUCCUAAGAACAUAUUUUUUAGUUUUUUAAUCUAGUUUUGAAUACUUAUACAUAGUAACAAAAUAAUAAUUAUUUUUUGCAAGAAUAAACAAAUUCCAAAAUUAAAAAUUUAAACGGAGAAAACUACAUAAUAAACCCCAAAAACUCUUUUAGAAGCCGAAUAUAGUUAGAAAAAUGGCUAAACGAAGACUAAGGUAGGCAUGCAUGGUGCAAAUAGGGAGCGUUAGUUAAGCGGAUCAUUGAAGAAGACCCUAUGAGAAAAAGACAGCUAGGUAGACCUAAAUUAAGAUAGGAAGAUUGUGUAAAGAAAGACAUUAAAAAGAUAGAACCUAAUGGAGGUAUACCCAAUGUACCUACUGAAUCUAGUUAAAAAUAACUAAAUUGUACCAUUAAUACUAUUAUUAUUAUUAUUUAAUUUUUCAAUUAUUCAUUAUUUAUUAGUUUAUUGAAUGUAUAUUAUGUAAAAUAUAUUUAUGCAUGUAUGUUAAAAAAAAUUAAGGGAGUUUAAAUUCCAUUUAAAUUUUAAAUUAUUAGUACAUAUAGUAUAUUACUUUCAAAAAAUGUUCUUAAUACUGAUGUAUUUUCUAAUUUGAAUUUAUAUAAUUAUCAAAUUAAAUUAAGUUAAUAUAUAAACAUAUUCAUUUUUAAUUUUACCUUAUUUUUCAGUACUGUAUUGAAUUUUCGUAUGCGAUUUUGUGUAUAUGUACCGGACAAUUUAGAAGGGCCUGCUCCAGUUCUAUACUUUUUGAGUGGUAUGUCAUGUUCUGAACAAACUUUCAUACAAAAAUCAGGGUUUCAACGUUGGGCAGUACAUUAUGGAAUAAUCGUAGUCUCACCUGAUGUUUGUCCUAGUGAGGAUAUAAAUAUAUAUAUUUUUUUAAUACAUAAUAAUUAUUAUUUUUUACUAACACAUUUUCAGGGGUCACUUUUGGUGUUGAAAAGAAUGAAAUUGAAGCUAAAGGUUUGUCAUUUUAUGUAAAUGCGAUAAAAAAACCAUGGAACAAGAAUUACCAAAUGUAUUCAUAUGUGAACGAGGAGUUACCGGGUAUUAUUCAAGAAAAUUUUAAUAUUAAAAAGGAUAGACAGUCUAUUAUGGGUCACAGGUAUAGUAACAGUAAUAUCUUAUAUAUAAAAUUCUCGUGUCAUGUGUUUGUGGUUGCACUCCUCUGAAACAGUAUGACCGAUUUUAAUGACAUUUUUUUUGUAUAUUUGGCAGGUAUGAGAAUAGGUCGUAAAUUAUUUUUCACCUUCCGAACCCAUCAUUUUUUAAUUGUGAUUUUAGUAUUUUAAUAAGAUUUUUAGGUAAUAUUAAAUAAUUUAUUUUUAUGGAUUACCUUAGUUACAUGGAUGAAUUGAAAAAAAAAAUGUAAAAGUUUGGUCAAAACGUAUCUAUAGUAAUAAAUAUAAAUAAAAAUAAUUCACAAAAUCGUGACACAAGAAUUAUAUAUGUAAGAUAUAUACACCAAAUAAUUUAGCUAAAAAAAAAAAAUAAUAAAAAAUGACAAGGGCAACACUGAGGUGGACAGCUUCACAAUCAUUCUAAAGUUUUUAUUGAUAAUGUAUGGAAAUACACUUCUGCUUUUCAUGAAGAAAUGUUAUAACAGAAAACUAUUAGACUACCCCACUUUUUACCUAUUUGUUUUUAUUUGUUAUUAUUUAUUACUGACACGGUCAAAACCAAAAACAAAUAUGGGUAAAAAAUGGCGCUGGAUAACGCUGGGCAGGAUAUCUAGUAUUUAUAAUAUAAAUAUAUAUUAUAGUUUUGAAUGAAAUAUACAUAAUUUUGUUAAUUUAAAUUAUUUUUUAAUUAUAAUUUAACCAAGAAAACUUUGGUAUGGCCCCUGAGAGCGCUACAUUGUCCAUACAAAUAGUUACUUCACAAACCUCCUUAACCUAUGGUGUUAGAUUGUUCAAGUAUAGCAGAAAUACUGUUAAAAAUCGGGUCCUGAGUAGGUAAAGCAAUCUGUUGAGAAGAAUUUGAUACAACCAUUCCUAAAAUAAGGCAGUUAAAUGAGGAUUCAAAUCCAUUUAUUUAUUUAUUUGUAUGUCAUAAUUAAGUUAUUGCACUAAAAGAGCAUUCAAAUUGAUUGCAUUAUUGUAGUAAAACAUAUCCAAAAUUGGACUUAAAAUUGCAAUAAAUUAUUUUAUUUACCAAACGAAUGUAAAAAUACUCCACAUUUUGGAGAAAUAAUAACUCGUGCACUGUCUUAUCAAAUAAUAUUUUUACCACUGCCAUCACAACCGACAAAGCCAGAAAUAACUAUCAAUUAUUAUAUUAAUUCUGACAAGGCUUCUGUCGUUAUUUUAUUUCUAACGUAAAAAAAAAAUAAAUCAAGUGUAUAAUAUUUAAAAGUAUCAAAAAUGUAUUAUUAACAGCACUAGAAAAAUGUGAAAAACACAGUGGGAUACACUGUAUAUAUAUUAGGUAUUAUAUUAUUUACCUUGUAUAAACUAUUAUAUUUCAUUUUAACUAAAUUAAAAAAAACUUACCUAUUACUACUUUAUUAAAAUAAUAAUAAAAACUCUAAAGUAAUACAAUAUAACAGUGUCACAUUGUAACAUUAAUGUGAAACAAUUUUAAAAAUUUCUAUCAAAUGAUCCCUGCAUAUAGGCUUUUUGUUUGAAAAAAAUAAUAUCUAAGACUCCAAAAUUGUUUUUGCACUUUUACCUAUAAGCUUAACAACUGAUUUUUCUGUAACUUUAUAUUAACUCACAAUUCUUACACCACAGACAAUUGGGCUUUUAUUAAACAUGAAAAUUGGAUUCAUGAUUUGAAUAUUUCUUAUAAAAAAAUAGAAUGAAUCCAAAAUCGAAUUUUAAAUAUGCUAGCUUAUAAAACAAAUAAUGUUGAGUUAACUUUGCAAUCUAUUGCUUUAAAAUUUAAUAUAGAAAAUCUAGAAUUUAGAAGGUGAUUUAACGAAUUACGCUGACUUUAUAAGUUAUUCAAUUCCAAAAUUGAUUGUUCUGAAAUACUAGCAUUAAUUAAUAUAAAUAUUCCAAACAUAACUUUAAGAUCCACAAAUCCAUUCUAUGUAUCUACUUGAAAACGUAAUUAUUGCCUAUUUGCACUGGUUAAUUGAAUGUUAACUCUAGAUAAUAAACUUAAUAAUUUUGAUUUUUUUUUUUUUUUAAUUUUCUAUUGGAGAUGAAACAUGGUUUAAAAAAUAGCUGUAUUCUAUAGUUCUAAGUUCUAUUAUUGUCUUGAAUGUUUACUUUAUAGUUCAUAGUGCUAAUAUUGUCUUACUUGACUUAUUUUUGUUGUUCCUUGUUAUAUAUCUUUACAGUAUUUACUAAAAUAAUUUUAACCAUUAUAUAUAGAACAAUUUUUUCUAUCUCAAUCAAUAUUCAAAAAGAGGGGUUUCUGUUGCAAAAUCAAAAGUAUGCACUUAUUUAAAGUAUAGGGAGUAGAAGAAAAAAAUUAAAAAUAGUUUUAAAAUAAAACUUAAACGAUUCCAUAAUGAUUAGAAAAAACAAAAAUCAAAUUCACUUGAAAUCCUGAGAUAAUUACUGGUUCAUAAUAAAAAUAUUACCCUCUAUAUAUAUAUAUGUAUUAAUUCUGUACCUACUCUAUGCCCAUGGGACGUUUGGUAGAAAAAAAAUAUUCAGAAUCUGACUCAUUGAAAAUAUUACCAUUAGAACUUCUUCUUGACAUUUACUGUUAUGUAUCCAUAUUUCCGUUAUCUGGUUCAUAUGUUUGAGUAUUAUCUUCAUUAUCAUCACUUUUAAAGUAUAAUAAUUAAAUAUUUUCAUAGACUCACUAUUCUAACCACAAGCUUUGCUUAUAGGGAGUUGAUAUCAAUGUGAAAUUGAAAAUUUAAUGUAAAUAUUGUAUGUAUAUAAGUGUAAAUAGUAUGUUAUAAAUUAAUUUAUCAAUUAAUUAAUCGAAAAAGUAAUAAUACUUUCUUUACUACUAUCCAAUAUUGAAAGCAUAAAACAUCAUUAUUCUAGUUAGAACAGUGACAGCAAAUAACAAUAAUUCAAAUUCGUACGCACAUAAUCAGUUUAUCUAAUUUGAAAAUAACAAUGAUAAUGGUAUGAUAAGGAAAGCUGCGCGCGCAGUAUCCAAUUUGCCAAGCUGCAAUGAGACGCUAAUUUACAUUUUAAAAUUGUGUAUCGUUGCACAUCGGUAUGAACCGCUAGAUUUAUUUUUGUGUUAUCUAUUAACAUUAUCUCACAGUGCCCCGUGUCUCAUUUUGGCUCCUUCUAUCCUAAUUAAUUUUCAAUCACACGGGGUAAAUAUUUUCCAAACUGUAAAAUUGUUCUCAACACGCGUGCACAAGUGGUAUAAUUUGAUAAUGUUUGUGAAGAAAAUGAAAUGCAGUUUUUACGUUUUAUUUAUUACUCCCACCAAAAAAAGAAAAUGUAUUUAUCAUAAUCACCUUUUAGUGCAAUAAAUAUAAUAUGUACCUACACAUGUGAUUAUCUAAUCAUAAUGUGUUAGUCAGAUAAUCUAAGAUUACUGGAUACAUACGCAGUAUGUAUUCUGCUAAAUAAAUUUACUAAACGUACCUAUAAGCAGUAACUACACAACAUAAUAUUAUUGUUUUUUCUAGAAUAUAUCAUUUACUGCUUAUUUUUUUAGUGUUCAAUGAUAUUUUGGUAGAUACUAUAUAUAUAAAGCUCAUUUAGAGAGUCUAAAUGAUGUUUUACUGCAUUUUAUCCUAGUCAAAUCGAUUUAAAUAGCCUAAUAAAUAAUAGGUACCUAUUCUAAAAUAAUCUCAUUUAUAAAAAAUUGUGAGUUAGUGCGUUUCUCUUUGGUAGGACAGUAUGCAUCUGCGUUUAUUAUGAAGUAUUUAUGUACAGCUAGCAAAGGGGACUCGGAAAUUUUUGUAUUAUUUCUAUAAAAUAUAGACUAUAUAACAUAAUAAUAUUUAUAGUUAAAUAAGUACAUAAAUGUAAUUAACUAGUCUUUUAAAAAAAAACAGUCUUGGGGGGAUACACCACCCAAAUACCCCGCCCCCUUGUAAUUACGCUGCUGGUGUGCACUAUACGAACUAAAAUAGUUUUCGAUAAAGUAAAUGUUAUAAUCGAAUGGUAUAACCAUUUAUAACGAAAAACGAUUCGGAGUGCAGUUCGGUUAUACAUGUUUUGAAAGCCGUUUUUUUUAACGAUUUUUGUCAAAAUAAUAAUAAUAAUAAUCUUUAUUUGUCAAUAACAACAGUAUAUAAAUUAUUUUUUUACAAGAAAAAUAAAUAUAUUAACACUUCCCCAAUAAGUAUAACAUAGAUAAUAUGUAAGAUAUAUGUAUGUAUAAUAUGUAAUAGAUAAGAUGAUGUACUAUAAUAUAGAGGAGGGCUUAAAAGGGCUUAGCCUUCCCUGAGCUAUCUUAAGCACUCUCUAAGAUAUUUUAAUACAUAGGUAAUCUUUAUUGUAAUAAAUUUUAUAAUUUAUAAUCAAUAUUUAUAAUACUCAUAAAUUAUAACCAAUGAUAAUAGAUAUAAAUAUAAUAAUAGUAAUAAUAUAAUAUGUAGAUAAAUUUUCAUUGGAUUUCUAUUUUAAUGUUUCAAUGUUCCAUAAACUAUGAUCAGUUGAUGGCCUAUUAUAACGGCCAAAACGCAGCGCCCAAAAACCGUCACUUCACAAAAAAAUGUUAUGCUGAAUUUUGGUCUGAAAUAUGAUAUUAUUAGCAAUUGAACGAUUUCUGGCAAUACUCAAUUAGAUAAUUAGAAUAAUAAGAAUCAGAUAAAAAUUAAAAGCAAGCCUAAAAUUUAGAAAUGACUAAUUAUUUAUUUAGAAAUUAUGAGACAAAGUAAAAUUGUCUAUUUUAUGUAAAACAUAUUUUAGAUUCUGAGAGCGAGAAAUGUAUUGGUUUUACUAUGAUUAUUUUUAAAAAAAUUUUUUUUAUGUGAACAACUUUUCUACCGUCAAUUUUACUCCAUUUUACUUUCUACCAGAAAGCAUACUCCAAUUAUCAAGUAUAGCACUUUUUAUGAAAGGAAAUGUUCCCUGGGUGGUACUUAAAGAGUUUAUUUUUUGAAAUUAUCAUUAACAUUCGAGGUAAUGAAGAAAACCUGGUUCUUUAGGUUAAAAAAGAUUGAAAGAUUAAAAAUGAGGUUAUUAUUGGCAACCGUUUUUAUUUAUUUUUUGUUAGUAUUAAGUUUUUAUUAUUUUAAUUUUUUUUUAAACAGUCAGUGUUGUCAUGGAAACGCGCAUCGUUGUAAUUAUUUACCAUAAUAUGAUAUAUAUUAAUAUAUUGUUGACAAAGUAACACUAUCAACUGAACUCAUUUUAGAAUCGUUUUUUUCGUUAGCAAUGGUUUAUUGUUACUUACAGAUAUAUAUUAAAAUCUCAUCUGUAUCCUACAUUCCCAACUUCCCAUCUACAAAAGGAGCUGCACCCUCGUGUUAAGUAGGUCCGUCCUUUUUAUUUAAGUAUUUUUCGUUAGUAAUAAAAUAAUAAUAGUUAGUAAUUAUUUUAAAAAAUAUAUGGGGGGAUGAUCCGUGGCCCGUGGAUCCGCGCCUGCAUCAGAAAAAGAUUCGACAAACUGUAGGAGAAUAAUUCAUUGAACUUUUAUGUGUAAAACUGGAUUAUCCUGGUGAAACCCGUAGAGGUUACAACUUGCUCAAUUUGUGGUAUACCUAAAGUAGAAACAUUUUCCAGCCAUUUGACUGUCUGAGAACUCCCAAUUGACUGAAAACCGCCCGAUUUGGCAACCCUACAGUGCUGGGUAAAAUUACGUCGCGAUGUCCAAAUAUAUACCUAAUAAUAAUAUUACUAAUAAUUUAUUAAGUAUAAAAUAUAAUAUGUAUAUGUCGCAUCCACUUAGUGUUUUCGUAUUUUUCAUAAAAUUAAUAUCCAUUUCAUGAAUUACGAUCAUAUCGUAUUAAUCAAAUUUAAGUUCAUGAAAUAGACACAUAUUUAUCCAUUUCAUGAAGUGGAAACUCUUAUUUUACACAUUGUGUAAUAUUUUAAUUUUAUUACAUCAAUAGGUAACUUUUCGUGAUUAAAAUCGAAAUAAUAACAUUGACACAAUUAUACGAAUCUAAUGUUUUUUAAAUUAUAACGUGUUUUAUAAUAAAUUCUGAUUGGUUAUGAAAAAAUACGACCAGUUUAAAUUAAGUUAAAUUUAUAAUCUAGUAAAUACUUAUUAUUACUUAUUAUUACAAACAUGACUGAUACAUUUAACAAAAGCUUUAAAACAAGCACACAGUUUUGCUUCAUAUUGACGUUUAUAAAUACAACUUAAAAUCCUUGUCAGAAAUAUGUAUUAUUAUACUGGUGAUAAACGGUAAGAUCGAUGUUGGCGGAAAAGUGAAUCCCCAUUUUAACGACUAUUUACAUUUUUACUUUGGCUGCUAAAUUAUCUUCAAUCAUCAAUUGAUCUUCAUUUUUAGUAGGUGGUUUUUUGCCAGGUUUAUCUACUUUUAUGUACUAAAAUGAUUGCCUUAUAUAUUAUGAUAAAAUUAUUUAUUUAAAAAAAAAUGUUUAGUAUGGGAGGUCAUGGAGCUUUGAUAAGUGCGCUAAAAAAUCCAGGCAAGUUUUGUUCAGUGUCAGCUUUAGCUCCAGUUUCUAAUCCAUCUCAAUCAAUUGCUAUGCAAAGUGUAUUUAAGUGUUACUUUGGAGAUGAUACAAAAAUGGUGGAGAAAUACGAUGCUACAUGUUUAAUAUCUGAAUAUAAAGGACCAGAGUUAAAUAUUCUUAUACAUCAAGUAAAGAUAAAUAAUACAGGACAUACCACAAUUAUAUAUUCAUUGUAAUAUCUUCAGAGAUAAUAAAGAUAAUCAAAUUAUGAUUUUUUUUUUUUAUAUUAUUCCCAAGUAGAUAUUUAAAUAUAAAUAUUAUAUUUUAAAUAUUUAUAUUUCAAUUAAUGUUUUAUCUUGGUAAUGUAAAAAAAUAACUUUUUAUUUUAUUAUAUUUGAAAAAUUUGAAGAUAGACAUUUUAUAGAGUUUAUUUUUCUGACAAUUUUGAUGUAUGAACUUUUCAUUAAAUUCGUGAUUUUUAAUAAUUUUUAAAGUUCCGAGAAAAAAAUUGUACAGUCAAUUAGCCAUAAUAGUAAUAAUCAUGACUGAUUAUUACUGUGAAUUCGCAUAUAGCUUGCUGUAGAAUUACAGUUACUUUUCUUUGAACUUAUUACAUUUAAUUGAAUGUACACUUUUUUUCUGGAAACUUUAAAAAACUAUUAAAAAUCAUGAAUUUAAUGAAAAUUAAAAGUAAAAAUGUCAACAUUUUUAGAAGAAUAGACUAUAAAAUGGCUAUCUUAAAAUUCUUCGAAAAUAAUAAAAUUAAAGUUACUUUUUUAGUUUUUUACUAAAAAAUACAAAUUUUAUUCAAAUAUAAAUGUUUGGAGUCCUUAUCCCUAUGAGUAAUAAAAAAAAUUGAAUUUGAUUAUCUCAGGAAAUAUUGCAAUGGAUAUAUCUUUGUGGAACACAUUUUAUAUACAAAGUAAUUACACUUAAUUUUCAUAGAGUUUUAGAAGUAUUAAGGUUUUUUUUUUUUUUUUUGCAGGGAACUGAUGAUCAGUAUAAAGAUGAAUUAAUGUUGGAAAACUUUUCAAAAGCUUGUGAAAAGGCAGGGAUUCUGGCUUCAAUACAUUUUGAAGAAAGAUAUGAUCACGGGUUUUACUUCAUUUCAAGUUUUAUAGAACAACAUUUUCAUCAUCAUGCUCAAUUUUUAUGUGACUUAUGAUAUUUUGUUAAUUUUAUUUUAUUUUUAGGUAUUAUUAUAUUUUUUGUGGUGUUAUAAAGUUUUUAUAGCUAUCUAAAAAUAAUUUUAAAAUACAUUCUAUAUUGUAUACAAUUAUAGAGAAUAAAUAAACAAAUUUAAAUUGAACUCACUUAGCUAUAUUCAAGACUAUGGCAUUAUGAUAAAAUGUAUUAAAAUAAACUGAAAAUUACUUUUAUUUAUAAAAGGGCCAAUCGGAUUUAAACAAAUUAAAAUAAAUAAUAUCAUUAAAUCUUUUAAUAAAAAAAUAUUUAAUUCUUAAAUUAUUCUCUAAGCAGUUUUCUUAAUAAUUGGGAAAACCUAGAAUAGAAUUAGAUAGAAAAACAGACAAAUUAAGGUGUUAACGGUUUAAUUAAUUUAAAUUUGUUUAAUUAUUGUUUUCUACCAGAAAUCUUGUUCUGUUGAUUGUAAUUUAGUAUUUUUUUUUUCUGUACAAGGUGAUCGUAGCAUACAAAAAAAACAGCUGUAGAGUCAAAAUAGAGGCAAUUUUACUUGACUUCCUAAGAUUUGCAGGCAAUUUAAACAUUUUAAGUGAAGAUAAAGUGAAUCAGUUGUUCAAAAUACAACACUGAUAAAAGAAGCAAAAAAAUUGGGCUAGCGAUAAAUGAAGAGAAGAGCGUAGUUAUGAAAACAAUGAACAGAAAAUAUGAUAACCUUGCAAUAGUGGACUAAGUAUUUAAAAAAACCUAAAGUUUCAAAUACCUUGGUGCAACAAUAACUGGAAAUAAUAAUUGGAAUAGCAAGAUUCAUAAUGAAAUCAAUAAAGGUGAAAGUGCGUACUUUGCUCUAAUUAAAUACUUUAAAUCAAAGAUAUUUUCUAGAGACACAAAAACACGUCUCUGUACGGCGAUAGUAAGACCAACAAUUACGUACAGAUGUGAAGUAUGGUUCACAAUAGAACGAGUCAAGCAAAAACUUAGGACCUUUGUAAACAAAGUUUUAAGAAUAAUACGUGGACCCUUAUAUGAUGAUGUAGCCAAUUGCUACUGUAAAAAGAAAAAAUAGAGAGAUAAGAGAAAUGACAAAAAUACUCGUGAUAAUAAGUUAUAUAAAAGAACAAACAUUAAAAUGGCUUGGGUAUGUUAAACAGAGAGAAGCAACAAGCAAAGCCAAAGCAACCAUGGAUUGGCAACCAGAAGGAAAGAGACCAAGGAGGAGGCCAAAAAAACGCUGCAUAGAUGGGGUAAAACAAGACCUAGGGAGACUGAAAAUUACAAACUGAGAAGUGUUGGUCCAGGAUCGUUGAAGCUGGAGAGCAUUGACAGAGGCGGUAACAACUCUUACAAAGUCAUGAAACCAUAUGAUGAUAAUACAAUAAGGUGAUCAAUAUAACGUAAGACAUUCACUGUCUCGGAAUAUAUUUGUUAUUUAGAAUAUUUAAGAAAUGAAUAGCUGUAAAAUGUUAUAUUAAUCUUAAUUUUGUCAUUCUUAUUUUAGGGAGUGAAACCACUCCUUACUUUUGAUUUUCAAAUGAAAGUCUUUAUUAAAAAGACUACAAAUAGAUGGAGUCUCUGUCAACCUGUUUGUGAGAUUUUAAACUUUUAAGUUUCAAAGAGGGGGAGUAGUGGUGCAACAUUUGUGUGGUGGCACGGUACACGAAAUUGCAAUAGUGUUCCAGCACUCUCCCCUUAUCUAAACUUAAUAGUGGAAUAUCUCGUCAAUGGAUUAAUGAAAAUCAGAUCACUUAUAUACCCCCAACACAAGCGUUAUGCUUAAAAGGGAGUUGCAAACACAUAAUUUGUAUUUUUUUCUGUAUAUUAUUGUAAAAUUGUAUAUAUAUUUGCUAAAUAAAUUUAUUAUUAUUAUUAUCAUAGAUAUUUUAACACCAAAAUUUAUUUAAACUAAUACUCCAUCUAUUAAUGGAAUUUUUAGUAUAAGUUGCCAUUUGAAAAUUAAAAGUAGAUAAUGAUGAUUUCACUUCUUAAAAUGAGAGAAACAUAAAAUAACCGUAAUGUUACAUUUCAGAGCUAAUAAUUUCUUAAAUAGUUAGUAAAACAAAUUUCAAAAAAAGUAGGGAUAGUCCAAGAUAAUUAGUAUGUUGAUCACCUUGUAAUGUUUUAAGUUCAAAUUUUAACAAAAAUUGUACAAAUUAUGUCAUUUUAAAACAUGUAUAAUCACACUUCUCUCAGAAUAGUAUUUUGUUAGCAAUGGUUUAUUUUAUUAUACAAAAAUAUAAAUUAAAUAAACUUGUAUUGAACCUUCUCAAUGUUUCACCUAAAACAGUGGCCCAUCAAUUGUAUUAACUUUUUUUUAAAUUUAAUAUUGUAUGUUUAACAUUAGGACUUAAAUGUUUAUAGUUAGAUAAAUCAAUAUUUAAUGAAAUUUAAGAUCAACAUUUUAAUGUAAAAACCAUUUUAAAAAUUAAGCACAUUAUAUGUAUCAUACAAAUAUACAUGUUAAAUAGUAUAAAAUAACAUUUUACAUGCUACGGAAAUAAUCAUAAAUGAUUAAUGACUGUCCAAAAGAACAAAAGUCAUGUUUUAAUGAAAAUUUUCCUAUGUCUAACUUAUGUAUGCGUGAUGAUAAAUUCUUAACAUAUUGAGUAGCAUUUAAACAUUUUUUGGACUAACGACUAACAACGAUUACACUACAACGAUAUAUGUAUUGAUUAAUAAAAAAUGUAUCUAUUUAUAGCUA